ensembl:snRNA U6 U6 spliceosomal RNA
GUGCUUGCUUCGGCAACACAUAUACUAAAAUUGGAAUGAUAUAGAGAAGAUAAGCACAGCCCUUAUGCAAGGAUGACACAUAAAUUUGUGAAGCAUUCCAUAUUUUU